AAAAAGACAAACCCUGGGUUUCCGUGCCAACGUUUAAAUGUCCGUCUUAUAUAAAUUUUUUUUAUAAUUAGUAUUUUUAUUGUUGUUAGAUGAUAAAACAUGAUUAAUACUUUAUGCGCGAUUUAUCUUUUUAAUUUUUUUUUAUUUUUUCAAAUAAGACGGACGGUCAAACGUUGGACACGGAAACCAGGGUUUGUCUUUUU
rfam:Oryza sativa (indica cultivar-group) chromosome 12, whole genome shotgun sequence.